rnacentral:misc_RNA from 1 species
GUUCGUCCUUGACGGCGACGGUUUGCCGGAGAUUUUUACAUACUCCGUCUCCGUGAUAGGUGUUUCAUUCAUCAGAUGGAAGUAGAAGGUGAAGAGUUGAAGAAAAGGAAGCAGGUUGGCGAAGAUACAGUGCACGUCUCUUCGUCACCUGGGGAUUUUUGGCGAUCUCGCAACGGACCUCGCAAGUUUUUCGACCGUUAUAGCCUACCUAAAGGUUGGUUAUAUUGCCCUCCAUAUGGUGAUAAU